rnacentral:misc_RNA from 1 species
CCAAUUUUUAGCGAACCUGAUCUUUUUUUGAUCAUGGUCUCGCGAAAAUCGUAUUUAAAACCCCACUCUUAUAAGAAUCACUUUUUGUGUAAUAAAAAAAAUAAAAGA